GGGCUACAGCUGAAGGUUAAAAUUCCCAUUUUCUUGAGUGGGCAGUGAUGGUAUACUUGUAGCAGAGAUAAGUGGUGGUGGUAUUCUAUGCACUUUAGAUGUUGCUCCUUCCCCCUGUCAUAUGACUGCUUUGCCUCUCUGGGAAGAGAAACCCCAGACACAAAUCAGUGUAAAUCACCAAGCUAGGAAUGCACUAAGUUAGAAAGAGAUUUCACAGGUGAAAAAUGUAACCUUAAUGAUAGUCCUUAAGCAUUAAGGGAUGAGCCCUUGAAGCUCCUUAAUGCUCCUGCUCUGUGUCAUUCUACUACCACACGUUCUUGCCUUACACAGGAAUCAACUCUUCUGAGCUGUGUUUAACACUGGAUAAUUUCCUUCUUCUUCAUUAUUGUGGUACUGGGGUUUUAGCUCAUCUUUCUUUCAACCUCACUGACUGAACUUUCUUGAGUUUUUGACUGUUUUGAGGUGCUUCUCUUAGAAGGUUGUCCAGGGUAUUGUUUCCAGACUGUGUGUUAUCUUUACAUUUACCCUAUCAGCAGCACUUUUGCUCCUGGCCAGUGAUAUUGGAAUGCUCAUAACAUCUAGCCAUGAAAGAAAUAAUGUAUUUGGGAAGGAGUAUCCCAUGAUCGAGUGUGGUUCAUUCAGCACUGAAUCAAGUGCUACUUCUGUCCAUGAAGAUUUACACAACUCUCCUGAAUGAGGCCUGGAGCAAUGCUAUCUAACUGUGAAGUUGGCCACGCUCUGAAGAGGAGGUCGGAUCAGAAGUCCCAAGAAAUCUGAAUCUUUCUAUCAUUCUAAGUGCUGAACAAAGUGCCCUCCAGAAGAAGAAGGAAAAAAAAAAAAAAAGCAGAGGGCACAAGAAAUGAGAUUGAUAUCUGUUUCUUACUUGGGCCAUAGGACAGCAUUCCAAAGAGCAUGACAGCUGGAGUCUCAUCCCCUGAUUUCAUUGAGCUGCAAGUGGUGCACUGUUUCUUUAU
rnacentral:lncRNA from 1 species